rnacentral:rRNA from 1 species
UACGGGGGGGGCAAGCGUUGUUCGGAAUUACUGGGCGUAAAGGGCUCGUAGGUGGCCAACUAAGUCAGACGUGAAAUCCCUCAGCUUAACUGGGGAACUGCGUCUGAUACUGGAUGGCUUGAGUUUGGGAGAGGGAUGCGGAAUUCCAGGUGUAGCGGUGAAAUGCUUAGAUAUCUGGAGGAACACCGGUGGCGAAGGCGGCAUCCUGGACCAACACUGACGCUGAGUGAGCGAAAGCCAGGGGAGCAAACGGG